rnacentral:rRNA from 1 species
GAGUUUGAUCCUGGCUCAGAAUGAACGCUGGCGGCAGGCUUAACACAUGCAAGUCGAACGGGGUUAUAUUGUAGCUUGCUAUAGUAUAACUUAGUGGCAGACGGGUGAGUAAUGUAUAGGAAUCUACCUAGUAGUACGGAAUAAUUGUUGGAAACGGCAACUAAUACCGUAUACGCCCUACGGGGGAAAGAUUUAUCGCUAUUAGAUGAGCCUAUAUUAGAUUAGCUAGUUGGUAAGGUAAUGGCUUACCAAGGCAAUGAUCUAUAGCUGAUCUGAGAGGAUGAUCAGCCACACUGGAACUGAGAUACGGUCCAGACUCCUACG